AGCGGGAAAAUCCUUUUGUAUGAAAAAUCUAAACCACUCAAGUUAGACGUUUGAAAUUUGGCAUGCAGAUACCUUAAGUACCGUAGAGGUGCACUAAGGAAGGAAUUCCCGAAAUUCUUACGGAAACGGGAAUUAGCGGGAAAAUCCUUUUGUAUAAAAAAUCUAAACCACUCAAGUUAGACGUUUGAAAUUUGGCAUGCAGGUACCUUAGAUACCGUAGAGGUGCACUAAGAAAGGAAUUCCCGAAAUUCCUACGGGAACGGGAAUUAGCGGAAAAAUCCUUUUGUAUGAAAAAUCUAAACCACUCAAGUUAGACGUUUGA